rnacentral:lncRNA from 1 species
CCUUAAUGGCAUGCCACUAAUAUGCUAGUAGUUCUAAAUCCCGUCUACUUGAGCAUUAAAACUGAAUUUCAUACAUUUAAAUACUUUACAAUUUAAUCCUUGUACCAAUAAUUCGUAUAAUUAUAUAUUCUCUAUCUUUAAUACAUGUAAUAUAUUUCAAAAUUCACUAGUCAUUCGUAAUUUACUAAUAAUUCUUAUCAUGUACAUUAUAUAUCAC